CCUACGGGCGGCAGCAGUGGGGGAUAUUGCACAAUGGGGGAAACCCUGAUGCAGCGACGCCGCGGGAGUGAAGAAGGAUUUCGGUAUGUAAAGCUCUAGCAGCAGGGAAGAAAAUGACAGUACCUGACCAAGAAGCCCCGGCUAACUACGGGCCAGCAGCCGCGGUAAUACGUAGGGGGCAAGCGUUAUCCGGAUUUACUGGGUGUAAAGGGAGCGUAGACGGUUAUGUAAGUCUGGAGUGAAAGCCCGGGGCCCCACCCCGGGACUGCUUUGGAAACUGUGUCACUGGAGUACAGUAGGGGCAGGCGGACUUCCUGGUGUCGCGGUUCAAUGC
rnacentral:rRNA from 1 species